ACAUACCGCUUCUCUACACAGCUUUAUGUCUUCUGGGGAGGCAGCCACUUUCUCCAUCACUUGAAGGGCUCUGUCAAGGUAGCCUGGUUUCCAUAUCAGAGGCAUGUUGUGGUACACAGCCCGUAGCCCUUGCUGCAACUCCACCUUCCCUGUGGCCAAAAAGAACAAUAAAGAAUGCUCAGCCAUGUAGACAAAGCUUAUCAGGCGACAGCUAAUUUUAGACCUUUAAGGUGCUUGGGGAGGAUCAUUUAGCUUACCAAGAAGUGCAUAGCCAUACAACUGGGAACUGAAACCCACUGAGUUCUUUUGUUUUAGGCCUGGAAGCAAAAGGGAUGCACCAAAGUUCCUCUCCUCUUCCCACUGCAACAGAAUAUCCACUAUUAAAUUGCUUUUAGAUAGAUUUGUGCUUCUCAAAAACAAAUUAGGCAGUCAGAAACAGUUAUUUUCUUUUUCAUCCUGCUGGAAAUUCUGCUUUCAGAAUUGUUAAUUUCAA
rnacentral:lncRNA from 1 species